rnacentral:misc_RNA from 1 species
GAUGAAGAACGUAGCGAAAUGCGAUAAGUAAUGUGAAUUGCAGAAUUCAGUGAAACAUCGAAUCUUUGAACGCACAUUGCGCCCGCCAGUAUUCUGGCGGGCAUGCCUGUUCGAGCGUCAUUUCAACCAUCAAGCCCCCGGCUUGUGUUGGGGACCUGCGGCUGCCGCAGGCCCUGAAAACCAGUGGCGGGCUCGCUGUCACACCGAGCGUAGUAGAUUUUCAUCUCGCUCAGGGCGUGCUGCGGGUUCCGGCCGUAAAAAGCCUUAUUUACCCAAGGUUGACCUCGGAUCAGGUAGGAAGACCCGCUGAACUUAAGCAUAUCAAUAAGCGGAGGA